rnacentral:rRNA from 1 species
AGCGCAGGCGGGAUAGCAAGUUGGAUGUGAAAUACCGGGGCUCAACCCCGGAGCUGCAUCCAAAACUGUUAUUCUUGAGUGAAGUAGAGGUUGGCGGAAUUCCGAGUGUAACGGUGAAAUGCGUAGAUAUUCGGAGGAACACCAGUGGCGAAGGCGGCCAACUGGGCUUUAACUGACGCUGAGGCUCGAAAGCAUGGGGAGCAAACAG